UACGUAGGGGGCUAGCGUUGUCCGGAAUCAUUGGGCGUAAAGCGCGUGUAGGCGGUUCGGUAAGUCCGCUGUGAAAGUCGGGGGCUCAACCCUCGAAUGCCGGUGGAUACUGUCGGACUAGAGUACGGAAGAGGCGAGUGGAAUUCCUGGUGUAGCGGUGAAAUGCGCAGAUAAUCAGGAGGAACACCAAUUGCGAAGGCAGCUCGCUGGGACGUUACUGACGCUGAGACGCGAAAGCGUGGGGAGCAAACAGG
rnacentral:rRNA from 1 species